CACAAACCCUCAUCAUAGCCGCCGUCACCACCUUCACCAAACCCAAACCCGAGCCACACCCUCAUAAUCAUAAUCACCGUCCAUCAUCAUCAUCAUCAGUCAUCAUCAACAUCUCGUUGCUAUAACCUGCCGGAAAUAACGUCGAUCUUUACAGAUCUGAAAAGAAAGAAGGAUGGAGGAGAGAUGGUGGUUCAGAUCUGCCGGUGUGGUGGUGGUGCGGGGUUGUUGGUGCGGGAUGGUGGUUCAGAUCUGCCGUGAGAGAUGGACGAGGUCUGGGUCUUCAAGAUUAUCACUUUCACCAUUUUCAACAUAUUUACACUAAUUUCAAUCAAGAUAUCAUCUGGGUCUUCAAGAUUAUCACUUCAUAUCCUCAUAAAAUCAAUCAUGCCUGCUCAAAUCAACUGAUCUUCUUUUUGGUAUUCUUGAUUGUGAUUCUUAUUGCAGUUACAGAGGGGUUUCUUCAAGUGGGUUGGAGUUCUUGAAGGGUGUGAGUGAAUUUGAGAGAUUUUUUUUUGUGAAAUUUUGAUUCAAAGAUGUCACUUUCAGAGUUGUAUAGAUCAUCUAUCAGUGGAAAGAGUGAACCCUCUCAACAGAAAUCAACUGAUGUUUCAUAUAUACCGAAUGACGAGUUUGUAGAGUUGAUAUCGGAAAAGAUGGUGUUCUUGAUUUUAUGGGUUUUGAUGAUGAUGUUUGAAGAUGAACGAGGUCUGGGUUUUGAUGAUGUUCUUGAAGAUGAUGUUGAUGGUGGUUCAGAUCUGCCGUGAGAGAUGAUGGUUCUUGAAGAUGAUGUUCUUGAUUUUCUGGGUUUUGAUGAUGAUGUUUGAAGAUGAACGAGGUCUGGGUUUUGAUGAUGUUCUUGAUUU